rnacentral:rRNA from 1 species
GGGCCCGCACAAGCGGUGGAGCAUGUGGUUUAAUUCGACGCAACGCGCAGAACCUUACCAGCCCUUGACAUGUCCGGGACCGGUCGCAGAGACGUGACCUUCUCUUCGGAGCCCGGAACACAGGUGCUGCAUGGCUGUCGUCAGCUCGUGUCGUGAGAUGUUGGGUUAAGUCCCGCAACGAGCGCAACCCCCGUCCUUAGUUGCUACCAUUUAGUUGAGCACUCUAAGGAGACUGCCGGUGAUAAGCCGCGAGGAAGGUGGGGAUGACGUCAAGUCCUCAUGGCCCUUACGGGCUGGGCUACACACGUGCUACAAUGGCGGUGACAAUGGGAUGCAAAGGCGCAAGCCCCAGCAAAUCUCAAAAAGCCGUCUCAGUUCGGAUUGGGCUCUGCAACUCGAGCCCAUGAAGUUGGAAUCGCUAGUAAUCGUGGAUCAGCACGCCACGGUGAAUACGUUCCCGGGCCUU